rnacentral:rRNA from 1 species
AUGUGCGCCGCCAGGACCAUCCGCGCCCAGCGCGACCGCCUCCUGCGGUGCCAACCCCUGCUGAAGGAUGCCUCGGGCGACGCGGUGGCGGACUACGCGCGCGCGCCCAGGCUCGAGAAGCUCGUCUCCGACCUCGUCCACGCAAGCGACAGCGACUCCCUGGGCCUCGAGGCCGGGUCCCGCUACCUCGCCACCUGCCUCGAGAUGGCUGCCCAGAGCGGCGCCCGCCUCGACCUCAACGACGCCCUCCCCGUCAUGCCGGACGAGCAGGUCUACCACGCGCUCCUCGCGCAGUCCUUCCCCGCGCCCCCGGCCACCCAGACGGAGGCCUUCUCCCGCAUCGAGGCCGCCUACCACGCCGUCAAGCUGUCCCAGGAGCACCACCUCCCGCUCUGCAUCCAUGCCAUCGACCACCUCGCCAGGAUCGCCCGCGCGGCCCCGCACCACGCUCCGCGCCGCCACCGCCGUGGCCGCAAGGCCGCCCACUCCGACGCCACCGGCGAGCCCCAGAUGGAGGAGGAGGCCAUCGGCAGCAUGGACGAAGCACGCACCCACCUCGACUGCGCGUGCACGCUCGCGAGCCUCGCCGUCGAGCACAUCGACCACGCUGUCACCGCCAUCUCUGCCUUCAUCGACCCGAAGGAGGUGGCCGGCAUAGCCAAGAUGGCGAAAAAGGUGGCAAUUGUAAAUUAG